rnacentral:rRNA from 1 species
GGGUGCGAUCAUACGAGCACUAAUGCACCGGAUCCCAUCAUAACUCCGAUGUUCAGCGUGCUUGGGCCGAGAGUAGUACUAGGAUGGGUGACCUCCGGUGCAAGUCCCUCAUGUUGCACCCC